AAAAUAUAAAUGUACACAGAGAAAGCUCAAUGGUGUGUAAAAAAAAAAGGCAAAGGUGCAAAUGCACCAGGAGCACACAGAGUCCUCUGAAGAACAUUUAUUGUAUUUGACACCAGUUAGUGUUAUGUCAAGGGUAUUUGGUGGUAACCCAGUCUCACAGGUUCCGCACUUAAUGGGCUUGGCAGCAUGUCCAUGUUUGAGAAGAAAGGGGGAACGCGCCUCCAGACAUAUGAUGCUGCGGCGGUCCUGGUGCUGCAUCCAAGAGAAGUCCAAGAGCAGCUGCCCCGGUGUCAGGGCCCACCACGAGCGCAGCUCGUCGGGAUUCCCAUGGUGACUCUGUGCUCACGCAGGCUGCAGGGAACCUCCCCGAGCCUCCGAACAGUGCACCUUUAAUCCCAAAAACAGAGCCACCCCCCCCCACCCCAGUGCUCCUCUGUCCACAGACUCACAUGGAAGCCCAUCUCUAGCUUCUCUAAGUGUCCUUCAACAUGCAGGCCUUCAGGUCACAGCCGGACUACUGCCCAGCCCGUCACGGACGCUUCCGAACACAGGACCAUCACACCCGAGCGUGCCGCACGCGCAUAACCAUCUGCCUUAAUUUGAAUACAUGAGUGUAUGUGCCACACUGUGUGUUUUUAUGUAUCAUUUAUAUGUAACAACCUGACAUAAAAAUGUUUUAUGAAAGCAGUCUUAGCACAGAUUGCUUUUCAGUCCAGGGUGUAACGUGACCUCAGACUGUCUUCCCAUAUUGGGGAGAACAUGGUGUAGCCUUGAACGUCAUGAAGCACCAUAGAGUCGAACCCAGGAUGCCCUGAAUGUGCGGCAACAUGCUGCAUUAUUUGAGGAUGGACACCCCUUUCUGUCGUGGGAGAAGAGUGCUGCUGUCCCUGGGAUUUCAUCGCACGCCGAACACCCACUGACAUCCCGACGAUUGUGUCCUUGACAUUGCAUUUUUUUUAUUGUGAGCUCUGAAGUACGCCCGCUCAGUAAGCUAGCAAAGAUGCUACUGCUCUGGCUUUCGUCGCCUCAUGAUCCCAUUAAGAGACACUGAUAUUUGUAUCGCAG
rnacentral:lncRNA from 1 species